ACUCCUACGGGAGGCAGCAGUGGGGAAUUUUGGACAAUGGGGGCAACCCUGAUCCAGCAAUGCCGCGUGAGUGAAGAAGGCCUUCGGGUUGUAAAGCUCUUUUGUCAGGGAAGAAACGGUGGUGGCGAAUAACUACUACUAAUGACGGUACCUGAAGAAUAAGCACCGGCUAACUACGUGCCAGCAGCCGCGGUAAUACGUAGGGUGCAAGCGUUAAUCGGAAUUACUGGGCGUAAAGCGUGCGCAGGCGGUUGUGUAAGUCAGAUGUGAAAUCCCCGGGCUCAACCUGGGAAUUGCAUUUGAGACUGCACGGCUAGAGUGUGUCAGAGGGGGGUAGAAUUCCACGUGUAGCAGUGAAAUGCGUAGAUAUGUGGAGGAAUACCGAUGGCGAAGGCAGCCCCCUGGGAUAACACUGACGCUCAUGCACGAAAGCGUGGGGAGCAAACAGGAUUAGAUACCCUUGUAGUCC
rnacentral:rRNA from 1 species